CUGUGUCUCAGAGCCCAGCUGGGGACUGGCUUGUCUGAGAAGCUAAUUCUAGCUAAAGUGUUAACAGCUGAAUGGGUCGUCCAUGUGCUCAGCGAUGGGGACUUUCAGUCUUUGAGGACAUGGGGCAGGAUGGAAAGGCCAGAAACCCAGUUUCCCGCCUGGACCAAGCUUCAGCCUCCGGCGAGCCUCAGCCUUGGGUGUCGGCCUUCCGGAGUUUCCUGCUCAAGUCGCUCAGAGAGGACAUGUCACGUUGCAGAAACAAGCAUCUUGCAGACGGCUGGUGGCGCUUCUCCUCUCCAAUCGCUGCGUGGCAUUUUCCUUGCCUCAUCGCGGUGCCAGGACCUCCAGCCUGAUGUUGGAUAGGAAUGAUCAGAGCUCGGAAGAUUCCCUUUACUCUUGAUUUCCUAUGACUCUUAUCAG